rnacentral:rRNA from 1 species
CAGUCGCCGCGGGAAUACGUAGGGUGCGAGCGUUAAUCGGAAUUACUGGGCGUAAAGCGGGCGCAGACGGUUACUUAAGCAGGAUGUGAAAUCCCCGGGCUCAACCUGGGAAUUGCGUUCUGAACUGGGUGGCUAGAGUAUGGCAGAGGGGGGUAGAAUUCCACGUGUAGCAGUGAAAUGCGUAGAGAUGUGGAGGAAUACCGAUGGCGAAGGCAGCCCCCUGGGCCAAUACUGACGCUCAUGCACGAAAGCGGGGGGAGCAAACAGGAUUAGAUACCCCCGUAGUCCCUGUCUCUUAUAC